UAAAAACCCCGACUUCGGAAGGGGUGUAUUUAUUAGAUACAAAACCAAUGCCCUUCGGGGCUCUUUGGUGAUUCAUGAUAACUAUACGAAUCGCACGGCCUUGCGCCGGCGAUGGUUCAUUCAAAUUUCUUCCCUAUCAACUUUCGAUGUUUGGGUAUUGGCCAAACAUGGUUGCAACGGGUAACGGAGGGUUAGGGCUCGACCCCGGAGAAGGAGCCUGAGAAACGGCUACUACAUCCAAGGAAGGCAGCAGGCGCGCAAAUUACCCAAUCCCGACUCGGGGAGGUAGUGACAAUAAAUACUGAUACAGGGCCCUUUCGGGCCUUGUAAUUGGAAUGAGUACAAUUUAAAUCCCUUAACGAGGAACAAUUGGAGGGCAAGUCUGGUGCCAGCAGCCGCGGUAAUUCCAGCUCCAAUAGCGUAUAUUAAAGUUGUUGUGGUUAAAAAGCUCGUAGUUGAACCUUGGGCCUGGCUGGCCGGUCCGCCUCACCGCGUGCACUGGUCCGGCUGGGCCUUUCCCUCUGUGGAACCCCAUACCCUUCACUGGGCGUGGCGGGGAAACAGGACAUUUACUUU
rnacentral:rRNA from 1 species